AUCGCUUCUUGGCCUUUUGGCUAAGAUCAAGUGUAGUAUCAAAUUGUAAUGUGAAAAUAUGUACAAUAAACUAUU
rnacentral:snRNA from 1 species